AUUAAAUGGCCGCAGUAUUUUGACUGUGCAAAGGUAGCAUAAUUAUUAGUUUUUUAAUUGAAAGCUUGUAUGAAGGGUUGGACGAGAUAAAAUCUGUCUUUAUUUAAAUUACAAUAGAAUUUAACUUUUAAGUCAAAAGGCUUAAAUGUAUAUAAAAGACGAGAAGACCCUAUAGAUCUUUAUUUAAUUAAUAUUUUGAUAAUUUAAGAUUAUUUUAGUUUAAAGUUUUAAUUAAAUUUUAUUGGGGUAAUAUAGAGAUUAAAUAAAUUCUUUUUAUUUAUUACAUUGAUUUAUGAAUAUAUGAUCCAAUAUUAUUGAUUAUAAGAUUAAGUUACCUUAGGGAUAACAGCGUAAUUUUUUUGGAGAGCUCAUAUCGAUAAAAAAGUUUGCGACCUCGAUGUUGGAUUAAAAAUUAGCUUGGGUGCAGAAGCUCAAGAUUUUGGUCUGUUCGACCAUUAAAUUUUUACAUGAUCUGAGUUCAGACCGGCGUAAGCCAGGUCGGUUUCUAUCUUUAUUUAUCUAAAAUAUUUUAGUACGAAAGGACCAAAUAUUUAAUAUAAUUAUAUUUCUUUUUUGAAUAAUAUU
rnacentral:rRNA from 1 species